UUUGGUGCUGCUGAAGUGUCAGUGUCAGUGAUGAAGGGAGAUUCUGUCACUUUGCACACUGAUGUUUCUGAACUACAGAGCGAUGAUAUAAUAGAGUGGAUGUGUGAAUAUAAUCUCAUCAUAGCUGAAGUUAAAAACAACAAAUAUGAAAUUACAAAAACAACCUCCCAACAAAUGGUGUUCCUGAUAGGAUUUUUCGAAGGUAGACUGGAGCUGGAUCAUAACGGAUCUCUCACCAUCAAAAACAUCACAUCUCAGCAUGAAGGAACUUAUAUACUAGACAUCCGGGGUAGACAUCUAAUAUCCAAGAAUUUCACUGUUACUGUUCAUGAUGGUGUAAAGAACUAUAUCAGUAAAGAAGGGAGAAUCUGUCACUCUACGCACUGGUGUUAUUGACAUACAAAGAUAUGAUUGGAUAUUGUGGAAGUUUGAAGACCAUCUCAUGGCUAAAAUUAGUAAAAGGACAAAUCAGUUCUUAUUAUAUGACAGUAGUGAUAAGAGAUUUAAAAGACAGGCUGCAACCAAAUGAAAAAACUGGAUCUCUCACCAUCAGUGACUCUGAAACAACAGAUUCUGGGACAUUAUCAUCUACACAUGAGCAGCAGCACAUACACCUUGCAGAGGAUCAUUAGUGUUACUGUCAAGGGUCUGUCUUCAAUUGUUAUAGCAGUAAUAUCUGUCACUGUUGCACUGGUGGUUGCAGUUGCCCUUAUGAUUUACUGCUGGUGCAGGUCAAGGCAAAGGAGUGACAGAGUUGUGUAAUUAGGAGGAUCAGUGUGGUAAGAUACUGUUCAGUUCAGAUUU